rnacentral:rRNA from 1 species
AUUGAACGCUGGCGGCAUGCUUUACACAUGCAAGUCGAACGGCAGCAUGGGUGCUUGCACCUGAUGGCGAGUGGCGAACGGGUGAGUAAUGUAUCGGAACAUGUCCGGAAGUGGGGGAUAACGUAGCGAAAGUUACGCUAAUACCGCAUAUGCCCUGAGGGGGGAAAGGUGGGGAUCGCAAGACCUAUCGCUUUCGGAGUGGCCGAUAUCAGAUUAGCUUGUUGGUGAGGUAAAGGCUCACCAAGGCGACGAUCUGUAGCUGGUCUGAGAGGACGACCAGCCACACUGGGACUGAGACACGGCCCAGACUCCUACGGGAGGCAGCAGUGGGGAAUUUUGGACAAUGGGGGCAACCCUGAUCCAGCCAUGCCGCGUGAGUGAAGAAGGCCUUCGGGUUGUAAAGCUCUUUCAGAUGGAAAGAAAUCGCUAUUCCUAAUACGAGUGGUGGAUGACGGUACCGUCAGAAGAAGCACCGGCUAACUACGUGCCAGCCGCCGCGGUAA